UACGUAGGGUGCGAGCGUUAAUCGGAAUUACUGGGCGUAAAGCGUGCGCAGGCGGUUCGUUAAGUUCGAUGUGAAAGCCCCGGGCUCAACCUGGGAACUGCAUUGGAAACUGGCGAGCUUGAAUGCGGCAGAGGGGGGUGGAAUUCCGCGUGUAGCAGUGAAAUGCGUAGAUAUAAGGAGGAACACCGAUGGCGUAGGCAGGUGACUGGCUCAUUCCUGACGCUCAGGCACGAAAGCGUGGGGAGCAAACGGG
rnacentral:rRNA from 1 species